rnacentral:tRNA from 1 species
AUUUUAAUAGCUUAACAUAAAGCAUAGGAUUGUAAAUCCUAAGAUGGUAUAACCUUAAAAAA